UACAGAGGUCCCGAGCGUUGUUCGGAUUCACUGGGCGUAAAGGGUGCGUAGGUGGUGACGUAAGUCGGAUGUGAAAUCUCGGAGCUCAACUCCGAAACGGCAUUGGAAACUGCGUUGCUAGAGGGUUGGAGGGGGGACUGGAAUGCUUGGUGUAGCAGUGAAAUGCGUAGAUAUCAAGCGGAACACCAGUGGCGAAGGCGAGUCCCUGGACAACUCCUGACACUGAGGCACGAAAGCUAGGGGAGCAAACAGG
rnacentral:rRNA from 1 species